rnacentral:rRNA from 1 species
UUGCUGCUUCGCUGACGAGUGGCGGACGGGUGAGUAAUGUCUGGGGAUCUGCCCGAUAGAGGGGGAUAACCACUGGAAACGGUGGCUAAUACCGCAUAACGUCGCAAGACCAAAGAGGGGGACCUUCGGACCUCACGCCAUCGGAUGUGCCCAGAUGGGAUUAGCUAGUAGGUGAGGUAAUGGCUCACCUAGGCGACGAUCCCUAGCUGGUCUGAGAGGAUGACCAGCCACACUGGAACUGAGACACGGUCCAGACUCC